GACGAACGCUGGCGGCGUGCUUAACACAUGCAAGUCGAACGGAAAGGCCCUGCUUUUGUGGGGUGCUCGAUUGGCGAACGUGUGAGUAUCACGUGAGUAACCUGCCCUUGACUUUGGGAUAACUUCAGGUAACUGGUGCUAAUACCGGAUAGGAUCUCCUGCUGCAUUGUGUGGGUUGGUUAGUUUCGUCUGUUGGGGAUGGACUCGCGGCUUAUCAGCUUGUUGGUGGGGUAGUGGCUUACCAAGGCUUUGACGGGUAGCCGGCCUGAGAGGGUGACCGGCAAAAGUGGGACUGAGAGACGGCCCAGACUCCUACGGGAGGCAGCAGUGGGGAAUAGUGCAAAAUGGGCGGAAGCAUGAUGCAGCAAAGCCGCGUGCGGGAUGACGGCCUUCGGGUUGUAAACCGCUUUCGACUGUGACGAAGCGUGAGUGACGGUAAUGGGUAAAGAGGCACCGGCUAACUACGUG
rnacentral:rRNA from 1 species